rnacentral:tRNA from 1 species
GCAGUCGUGGCCGAGUGGUUAAGGCGAUGGACUUGAAAUCCAUUGGGGUCUCCCCGCACAGGUUCGAACCCUGUCGGCUGCG